GCCGAAAACAAGGUAAGUAACCCUCAGAUGCAUGACUAAUCCUUCUCUCCACCAUUCUUAGCCCAUAAACCCAUGGAUUCUGACCAACAAUUGCCAGAAUUUUUUGAAUGAAUUAAUCUUUGAAAUUCUCCUAUUUUUCUUUCAUGUUUGCUUCAAUUUUUAGUGUCGUUCAUCACUGUUGCUCACCGAAUUGGAGUUCUCGGUCGCCACCAUGGUUUGCUGUUUGGGC
rnacentral:lncRNA from 1 species